CCUACGGGAGGCAGCAGUGAGGAAUAUUGGUCAAUGGGCGCGAGCCUGAACCAGCCAAGUAGCGUGAAGGAUGACUGCCCUACGGGUUGUAAACUUCUUUUAUAAAGGAAUAAAGUGAGGCACGUGUGCCUUUUUGUAUGUCCUUUAUGAAUAAGGAUCGGCUAACUCCGUGCCAGCAGCCGCGGUAAUACGGAGGAUCCGCGCGUUAUCCGGAUUUAUUGGGUUUAAAGGGAGCGUAGAUGGGUUUUUAAGUCAGUUGUGAAAGUUUGCGGCUCAACCGUAAAAUUGCAAUUGAUACUGGAAGGCUUGAGUACAGGUGAGGUAGGCGGAAUUCGUGGUGUAGCGGUGAAAUGCUUAGAUAUCACGAAGAACUCCGAUGGCGAAGGCAGCUUACUAAACUGCCACUGACAUUGAUGCUCGAAAGUGUGGGUAUCAAACAGGAUUAGAUACCCGGGUAGUC
rnacentral:rRNA from 1 species